UGGGGAAUUUUGGACAAUGGGGGCAACCCUGAUGCAGCGACGCCGCGUGAGUGAUGAAGUCCUUCGGGAUGUAAAGCUCUUUCGACAGGGACGAUUAUGACGGUACCUGGAGAAGAAGCUGCGGCUAACUACGUGCCAGCAGCCGCGGUAAUACGAAGGGGGCUAGCGUUGUUCGGAAUUACUGGGCGUAAAGCGCACGUAGGCGGAUGUGCCAGUCAGGGGUGAAAUCCCGAGGCUCAACCUCGGAACUGCCUCCGAUACAGCACGUCUCGAGUCCGGAAGAGGUGAGUGGAAUUCCUAGUGUAGAGGUGAAAUUCGUAGAUAUUAGGAAGAACACCAGUGGCGAAGGCGGCUCACUGGUCCGGUACUGACGCUGAGGUGCGAAAGCGUGGGGAGCAAACAGGAUUAGAUACCCACGUAGUCCCUGAGCGGGCUGGCAAGGCGCAU
rnacentral:rRNA from 1 species